rnacentral:rRNA from 1 species
GACGAACGCUGGCGGCGUGCUUAACACAUGCAAGUCGAACGGAAAGGCCCUGCUUUUGUGGGGUGCUCGAGUGGCGAACGGGUGAGUAACACGUGAGUAACCUGCCCUUGACUUUGGGAUAACUUCAGGAAACUGGGGCUAAUACCGGAUAGGAGCUCCUGCUGCAUGGUGGGGGUUGGAAAGUUUCGGCGGUUGGGGAUGGACUCGCGGCUUAUCAGCUUGUUGGUGGGGUAGUGGCUUACCAAGGCUUUGACGGGUAGCCGGCCUGAGAGGGUGACCGGCGACAUUGGGACUAAGAGACGGCCCAGAAUCCUACGGGAGGCAGCAGUGGGAAAUAUUGCACAAUGGGCGGAAGCCUGAUGCAGCAACGCCGCGUGCGGGAUGACGGCCUUCGGGUUGUAAACCGCUUUCGCAUGUGACGAAGCGUGAGUGACGGUAAUGGGUAAAGAAGCACCGGCUAACUACGUG